rnacentral:rRNA from 1 species
AUACGGAGGGUGCAAGCGUUGUUCGGAAUUAUUGGGCGUAAAGCGCGUGUAGGCGGCUUGGUAAGUCAGGUGUGAAAGCCCUUAGCUCAACUAAGGAAAGUCAUCUGAAACUGCCAGGCUUGAGUACGGGAGAGGAGAGUGGAAUUCCCGGUGUAGAGGUGAAAUUCGUAGAUAUCGGGAGGAACACCCGUGGCGAAGGCGACUCUCUGGACCGAUACUGACGCUGAGACGCGAAAGCGUGGGGAGCAAACAGGAGUAGAUACCCUAGUAGUCC